UGUCUCAUGGUGUAAUGGUAGCACUACAGUUUUUGGUUCUGUCUGUCGAGGUUCGAAUCCUCGUGAGACAACAA
rnacentral:tRNA from 1 species